rnacentral:rRNA from 1 species
GGGGAAUUUUCCGCAAUGGGCGAAAGCCUGACGGAGCAAUACCGCGUGAGGGAUGACUGCCUAUGGGUUGUAAACCUCUUUUUUCAGGGAGGAAUCAAUGACGUGUACCUGAAGAAUAAGCAUCGGCUAACUCCGUGCCAGCAGCCGCGGUAAGACGGAGGAUGCAAGUGUUAUCCGGAAUCACUGGGCGUAAAGCGUCUGUAGGUGGUUUAAUAAGUCAACUGUUAAAUCUUGAGGCUCAACCUCAAAAUCGCAGUCGAAACUAUUAGACUCGAGUAUAGUAGGGGUAAAGGGAAUUUCCAGUGGAGCGGUGAAAUGCGUAGAGAUUGGAAAGAACACCGAUGGCGAAGGCACUUUACUGGGCUAUGACUAACACUGAGAGACGAAAGCUAGGGUAGCAAAUGGGAUUAGAUACCCCAGUAGUC